GACAGAGGCCCCGAGCGUUAGGCGGAAUCACUGGGCUUAAAGCGCGUGUAGGCGGAGGGCUAAGUACCUUGUGAAAUCCCACGGCUUAACCGUGGAACUGCUGGGUAUACUGGUCUUCUUGAGGCAUCCAGGGGCGAGCGGAACAAACGGUGGAGCGGUGAAAUGCGUAGAUAUCGUUUGGAACGCCAAUGGUGAAAACAGCUCGCUGGGGAUGUCCUGACGCUGAGACGCGAAAGCCAGGGGAGCGAACGGG
rnacentral:rRNA from 1 species